rnacentral:rRNA from 1 species
AUGUCGCGCGGCGGAGACUGGGAUGGCUCCAACGUCCACGAGGACCACAUCGACUUCCUCCGCAAGACGCGGCGGUUGCCCGGCAAGGAUCAUGUGCGGGUCCGUCUUGCGCCGGAGAGGGAGAUCUCGCCGGCACCGGAGGAGGGCGAGCGGGUAAUCUUCCGCUCGCACUGCCUGCACGGCCUCGGCCUGCCUGCGAGCGGCUUCUUCCGUUCCUUCCUCGAGUUCUACCAGCUCCAGCCGCACCACCUCACUCCAAACUCGGUGGUGCUGCUGUCUGCCUUCGUCACUUUGUGCGAGGGCUUCCUCGGCGUCCUUCCCACCCUCGAGCUCUGGGGGGAAUUCUUCCAGUCCAAGCUUGGUACCGCCAUGAGGGGCGUGCCGGCUCAGAGCGGCGCCUUCAUCGCGAUGCGGAGGCCGGUUGCCGACAACCCUUUUCUUCCCAUCACACUGAUCCAGUCGGUGAAGCUCUGGCAGCAAUCCUACUUCUAUGUGAAGAACGUCGCUCCGCAAGGCGACUUCGUCAACUUGCCGGCUUAUGUAGCUGGCCCGCCGGCUGGGAGGCGGCCCCAAUGGUCCUAUUGGGCCAAAACACUGUCGCCUGCUGGAGCCGCGGCCGUCGCGCGACUCUGGGUAUUGGUCCAGUCGGAGGGCCUGACCGGGCCCGACCUGCUGGCCGCCUUCGUGGCGCGCCGGGUGCUCCCGCUCCAUGGCCGCCCUCAUAUGAUUUGUCAAAUGAGCGGCCAACUCGAUCCGAGUCGGUUGUGUACCAAGGAGAUGCCUCAUGUAGAGGUAGCUCACAUGGUGAACUACCUUGCGAACUGCAAGCUCACCGACGAGUGGCAGUUUGGCAAGGAGCCGUACUCCCGUGCCAAUCCCCGCCUAUGGUAA